GACAGAGGGUGCAAACGUUGCUCGGAAUUACUGGGCGUAAAGCGCGUGUAGGUGGAUUGGUGUGUCAGAUGUGAAAGCCCUGGGCUCAACCCAGGAACUGCACCUGAAACUACCAGUCUUGAGUGGUGGAGAGGGAAGUGGAGUUCCUGGUGUAGAGGUGAAAUUCGUAGAUAUCAGGAGGAACACCAGUGGCGAAGGCGGCUUCCUGGACACUAACUGACGCUGAGACGCGAAAGCUAGGGGAGCAAACGGG
rnacentral:rRNA from 1 species